AUGUGUGACCAGCAGCAGAUUCAGUGUUACCAGCCGCACCCCCAGUAUUGUGUGGCAUGUUCCCCCUUCUGCAUCUCCCAAUCCCCUUGUGCCAACAGCCAGGUGGUGGUCCAAGCCCCCUGCGAGAUGCAAAUUGUGGAGUGCCCUGCACCAUGCCCAGUUCAAAUUCCCCAGGUAAAAUGCCAGGCUCCAUGUCAGUCUAAAACUACAGAGGUGAAGGGCCAAGCUCCAUGCCAGUCUAAGACCACCCAGGUGAAGGGCCAACCUCCAUGCAAGUCUAAGACCACCCAGGUGAAGGGCCAAGCUCCAUGCCAGUCUAAGACCACCCAGGUGAAGGGUCAGGCUCCAAGCCAGCCUCAGAUUACAUGUGUUCAAUGCCAGGCUCCAUGCCAGUCUGAGGUUUCCUAUGUGCAGUGUGAAGGCCCAUGCCCUGUGCAGACCUGCUAUGUAGAAUGUGCUCCCGUUCAUUAUACAGAAACUUGUUAUGUGGAAUGCCCAGGCCAGAGCUAUGUACCCUGCCUGGCACCUCAGCCUGUCCAGACUUAUGUAACAGGUCCCCUGGUGUGCCAGCCUCAGGGAAGAUUCUCCACCCAGUGCCAGUAUCAAGGCUCCUACAGCAGCUGCGCCCCCCAGCGCCAGUCCCGGGCUUCAUUUAGCACCUGUGAGCCCCAGUGCCAGACCCGGGGCUCUUAUGGGAGCUUUCCUGCACAGAGUCGCUCUCGGAGCACCAGCAGGUGCCUCCCUCCUCGCCAGCUGCAGCCUUCUUACCGCAGCUGCUCCCCACCACGACGUUCCGAGCCCUACUACAGCAGUAGCUGCCUGCCGUCAAGAUGUUCUCCGGGCUCCUAUAACUACUGUACCCCACCCCGCCGCUCUGAGCCCAUCUAUAACAGUGACUGUUCUCGGCGUCCCACUUUGGGCUGCUCUCAGAGAUGUGGACCCAAGUGCCGAAUAGAGAUUUCCUCCCCUCGCUGCCCCAGGCAGGUUCCCCCCCAGAAGUGUUCUGUUCAGAUUCCUCCCAUCAGACGCUGCUCUGAGAGUUGUGCCCCUCGACCCUCCUGGGGUACCUCCUGCCCGGAUCUGAGACAACGUGCAGAGCCGUGUCCACUUCCAAGCUUCCGUCCUCCGCGGCGUUUGGACCAAUGUCCAGAUCCAUCACUGCGGCAAAGUCCACCUCCUGCUCCAUGCCCACGUCCACUUCCGGCUCCACGCCCACGUCCACUUCCGGCUCCACGUACGUGUUUGCGUCCAGAGCGGUGCGUAAGUCCAGAGUUCCGUCCCUGCUCUCCACCACGGCGACUUUCGGAACCUUGUUUGUAUCCAGAACCACGUCCAGUGCCAUAUCCAGCCCCGAGUCAUCCUCGGCCAGUGCAGUGUGAUCUUCCAGCACCGCGUCCAUGUCCGCAGCCCUGUGAGCGCCAAGAAUCUUUUCCACUUCCAGAGCCAAUUCCGCUUCCAUCGCCCUGCCCAAGCCCAGAGCCCUGUGUGGAGCCCCGACGCUGUCCCAGUCCCUGGUCAGGUCCAAAUCUAUGCACAGGAGACCUAGGCUGUCAUGAGUCCAGUCCACACCACCUGGACACUGAGGCCCCCAUCUGUGGCCCAGCCGGUUAUAACUGGCAGCAAGGCAGUGAGCCUAGAUUUAGACCUUGCGAUGUAGGCCUUCAAGAGCCGCAGGGUCUUCGUGGUUGUGGAGACCAAGGAGACGUCAGUGUUGGAGUGAAAGGUGGAACCCAUGGUGGAGCAAAGGGUGCCUACUUUUAA
rnacentral:lncRNA from 1 species